rnacentral:misc_RNA from 1 species
UAGAGUUGUAAAACUCCCAAAACCCAUGUGAACAUACCUGUUGCCUCGGUGGCUUACCUCUGGUUUAUUCCGGGGUGACCGCCGAAGGACCUAUAAACUCUUUUAUCUCUGUAUCUCUGAGUAAAAAAACAAAUAAGUUA